rnacentral:sRNA from 1 species
AUGCCAGAGUCAAAGGCUAUGAAUCACAAUGUGCUUGCACAAUUGUGAUUUAAUAGCUUUAUGACUCGUCCCGAUAUGAGGAUAAAAGAGGUGUGAAACACCUCGAUAUCCGAAUGACGGGUAGGAUUGUGCAAGUGCGUAGCACGAAACAAUCCGUGGGCAU